UUGAUGUGUGCAGUGGGUCCCUGGUUCGCGCCCGGGUUGGAGCGAGGGGCAGGACUAAAGUUAUACUGUUACAUAGACAAUAUCGAAAUGCGAAGCAAUUGUGCUAAUAGGAUACUAACUAGUUUACGGAUCCCAUCUUUUGCCCAAUAGGGAAACUGCAGAUGGGUAUAACCCCAUGCUUCCGCCUAUUUAUUUAUAGUCGCUACGCUGCAUCUUUUGGGCUACACGUGAUAAUGCUUAUUGCUAAUAGCACAUCUGGUAAUAUAGACCGUAGGCUAUAUGCAUGGUCCAGUAUUUUAAAAUCAUUUAGGAAAUGAUUCUAUUUUGUCAGUGUAAUUUUAUUUUCAUUCAUUUUGGGGUAAAAUCAAUAUUUUUUAAAGUCACCAGAACUGAGCUGUUCUGUCCUGCAUAAAAAUGAUCUAGGGGGUGACCCUGGACCCCCAAAACAAGUGGGAGGGACCCCCUCUAAUUGUCAAACAAAUCACUUCAAUCGGUAGGCUUCCUGCUCAGUUCCAUCCACUAUAAUAAUUCAGCCUACUGUAAUUCAUUUAAAUACGUUUCUGCAAAUAAUUUCGGGUAUUUGGUUGACCAUCUUAUAAUUUCAGACAUUUGGUUGGCCAUAUAAUUUCGGACAUUUGGUUGGCCAUAUUAUAAUUUCGGACAUUUGAUUCGGACAUAGGUUGAUUUGAUUGGUCAUACAGCUCUGAACUAAUUCACAUUGACUCCUUAGAAUUGGGGAGUAACAAGCUUUGUGACAUUUCGUGUUAAAACAAUUCAUGCUCGUCCACUUGGUCUGAAAUUCAGCUAACGUGAUCUGUUUUUCUUUUUACGCUUUUGUUUAUUGAAUGGAGGGAUGACGUGCUGGAGGUGUGGGUGAGAUGCUUAGUGAAGAAGGAUAUGGGGCCUGUGCAAGAAUCACGAUUUUUCAUU